rnacentral:rRNA from 1 species
GACGAACGCUGGCGGCGUGCUUAACACAUGCAAGUCGAACGGAAAGGCCCUGCUUUUGUGGGGUGCUCGAGUGGCGAACGGGUGAGUAACACGUGAGUAACCUGCCCUUGACUUUGGGAUAACUUCAGGAAACUGGGGCUAAUACCGGAUAGGAGCUCCUGCUGCAUGGUGGGGGUUGGAAAGUUUCGGCGGUUGGGGAUGGACUCGCGGCUUAUCAGCUUGUUUGUGGGGUAGUGGCUUACCAAGGCUUUGACGGGUAGCCGGCCUGAGAGGGUGACCGGACACAAUGGGAAUGAGAGACGGACCAGACUCAUAAGGGAGGCAGCAGUGGGGAAUAUUGCACAAUGGGCGGAAGGAUGAUGCAGCAACGCCGCGUGCGGGAUGACGGCCUUCGGGUUGUAAAACGCAUUAGCCUGUGACGAAGCGUGAGUGACGGUAAUGGGUAAAGAAGCACCGGAUAACUACGUG